UACGUAGGGGGCUAGCGUUAUCCGGAAUUACUGGGCGUAAAGGGUGCGUAGGUGGUUUCUUAAGUCAGAGGUGAAAGGCUACGGCUCAACCGUAGUAAGCCUUUGAAACUGGGAAACUUGAGUGCAGGAGAGGAGAGUGGAAUUCCUAGUGUAGCGGUGAAAUGCGUAGAUAUUAGGAGGAACACCAGUUGCGAAGGCGGCUCUCUGGACUGUAACUGACACUGAGGCACGAAAGCGUGGGGAGCAAACAGGAUUAGAUACCCCUGUAGUCCCUGAGCGGG
rnacentral:rRNA from 1 species